GAAUGCUGACAUAAGUAACGAUAAAGCGGGUGAAAAGCCCGCUCGCCGGAAGACCAAGGGUUCCUGUCCAACGUUAAUCGGGGCAGGGUGAGUCGACCCCUAAGGCGAGGCCGAAAGGCGUAGUCGAUGGGAAACAGGUUAAUAUUCCUGUACUUGGUGUUACUGCGAAGGGGGGACGGAGAAGGCUAUGUUGGCCGGGCGACGGUUGUCCCGGUUUAAGCGUGUAGGCUGGUUUUCCAGGCAAAUCCGGAAAAUCAAGGCUGAGGCGUGAUGACGAGGCACUACGGUGCUGAAGCAACAAAUGCCCUGCUUCCAGGAAAAGCCUCUAAGCAUCAGGUAACAUCAAAUCGUACCCCAAACCGACACAGGUGGUCAGGUAGAGAAUACCAAGGCGCUUGAGAGAACUCGGGUGAAGGAACUAGGCAAAAUGGUGCCGUAACUUCGGGAGAAGGCACGCUGAUAUGUAGGUGAAGCGACUUGCUCGUGGAGCUGAAAUCAGUCGAAGAUACCAGCUGGCUGCAACUGUUUAUUAAAAACACAGCACUGUGCAAACACGAAAGUGGACGUAUACGGUGUGACGCCUGCCCGGUGC
rnacentral:rRNA from 1 species